UCGCUAGGUGUCUCGCCACGACUGCGACUGUUGUCGGUGCCGAUAGGAAGCCGUGAAGCGAGCCACCUGGGAAGUACGGCCGCAAGGCUGAAACUUAAAGGAAUUGGCGGGGGAGCACCACAACGGGUGGAGCUUGCGGUUUAAUUGGAUUCAACGCCGGAAAUCUUACCGGGACCGACAGCAAUAUGAAGGCCAGGCUGAAGACUUUGCCGGAUUAGCUGAGAGGUGGUGCAUGGCA
rnacentral:rRNA from 1 species